rnacentral:misc_RNA from 1 species
GAAAUGCGAUAAGUAAUGUGAAUUGCAGAAUUCAGUGAAUCAUCGAAUCUUUGAACGCACAUUGCGCCCGCCAGUAUUCUGGCGGGCAUGCCUGUUCGAGCGUCAUUUCAACCAUCAAGCCCCCGGCUUGUGUUGGGGACCUGCGGCUGCCCGCAGGCCCUGAAAAACAGUGGCGGGCUCGCUGUCACACCGAGCGUAGUAGCAUACAUUCUCGCUCAGGGCAUGCUGCGGGUUCCGGCCGUUAAACGACCUUCAUAACCCAAGGUUGACCUCGGAUCAGGUAGGAAGACCCGCUGAACUUAAGC